UAGGGAAUCUUCCGCAAUGGGCGAAAGCCUGACGGAGCAACGCCGCGUGAGUGAUGAAGGUCUUCGGAUCGUAAAACUCUGUUAUUAGGGAAGAACAAAUGUGUAAGUAACUAUGCACGUCUUGACGGUACCUAAUCAGAAAGCCACGGCUAACUACGUGCCAGCAGCCGCGGUAAUACGUAGGUGGCAAGCGUUAUCCGGAAUUAUUGGGCGUAAAGCGCGCGUAGGCGGUUUUUUAAGUCUGAUGUGAAAGCCCACGGCUCAACCGUGGAGGGUAAUUGGAAACUGGAAAACUUGAGUGCAGAAGAGGAAAGUGGAAUUCCAUGUGUAGCGGUGAAAUGCGCAGAGAUAUGGAGGAACACCAGUGGCGAAGGCGACUUUCUGGUCUGUAACUGACGCUGAUAUGCGAAAGCGUGGGGAUCAAACAGG
rnacentral:rRNA from 1 species